rnacentral:lncRNA from 1 species
CUAGAGAUGAGUAUGGCCUUCAGACAUAGUUCUUAUCUUACCUGUGAGUUACUGCUUUCUAGAUGAGGGGCAGAAAAGAGCUGGUUCUCCCUUUGUCAUGGAUAUGGUCUGGGCCCUGGGUGGUACUUCCUGUCAGCAAAUGCACGUGAAGAGGAAGCCUGCGUGGGAGACUGACAUGGCAG